ACGCUGGCGGCACGCCUAACACAUGCAAGUCGAACGAAGUAGCAAUACUUAGUGGCAGACGGGUGAGUAACAUGUAGGUAUCUGCCCUUUGGCCUGGAAUAACACGAGGAAACUUGUGCUAAUACCGGAUAAGUCUUUACGGAGAAAGCUUUAUGCACCAUUGGAUGAGCCUGCACUUGAUUAGUUUGUUGGUGGGGUAAUGGCCUACCAAGACUGUGAUCAAUAGCUGAUUUGAGAGGAUGAUCAGCCACAUUGGGACUGAGACACGGCCCAAACUCCUACGGGAGGCAGCAGUGGGGAAUCUUGCACAAUGGAGGAAACUCUGAUGCAGCGAUGCCGCGUGAGUGAAGAAGGCCCUUGGGUUGUGAAGCUCUUUCGUCGGGGAAGAAAAUGACUGUACCCGAAUAAGAAGGUCCGGCUAACUUCGUGCCAGCAGCCGCGGUAAUACGAAGGGACCUAGCGUAGUUCGGAAUUACUGGGCUUAAAGAGUUCGUAGGUGGUUGAAAAAGUUAGUGGUGAAAUCCCAGAGCUUAGCUCUGGAACUGCCAUUAAAACUUUUCAGCUAGAGUAUGAUAGAGGAAAGCAGAAUUUCUAGUGUAGAGGUGAAAUUCGUAGAUAUUAGAAAGAAUACCAAUUGCGAAGGCAGCUUUCUGGAUCAUUACUGACACUGAGGAACGAAAGCAUGGGUAGCGAAGAGGAUUAGAUACCCUCGUAGUCCAUGCCGUAAACGAUGUGUGUUAGACGUUGGAAAUUUAUUUUCAGUGUCGCAGGGAAACCGAUAAACACACCGCCUGGGGAGUACGACCGCAAGGUUAAAACUCAAAUGAAUUGACGGGGACCCGCACAAGUAGUGGAGCAUGUGGUUUAAUUCGAAGAUACGCGCAGAACCUUACCAACACUUGACAUGUUCGUCGCGACUCUAAGAGAUUAGAGUUUUCGGUUCGGCCGGACGAAACACAGGUGCUGCAUGGCUGUCGUCAGCUCGUGUCGUGAGAUGUUGGGUUAAGUCCCGCAACGAGCGCAACCCUCACUUUUAGUUGCCAUCAUUAAGUUGGGCACUCUGAAAGAACUGCCAGUGAUAAGCUGGAGGAAGGUGGGGAUGACGUCAAGUCCUCAUGGCCCUUACGUGUUGGGCUACACACGUGCUACAAUGGUAUCUACAACAGGAAGCAAGACUGCGAAGUUAAGCAAAUCCCUAAAAGAUACCUCAGUUCGGAUUGCACUCUGCAACUCGAGUGCAUGAAGCUGGAAUUACUAGUAAUCGUGGAUCAGCGUGCCACGGUGAAUGCGUUCCCGGGUCUUGUACACACCGCCCGUCACACCAUGGGAGUUGGUUCUACCUUAAGGCAAGGUUUCAAACCCUUGACCACGGUAUAGUCAGCGACUGGGGUG
rnacentral:rRNA from 1 species